ensembl:lncRNA novel transcript, antisense to MID2
ACGUACGCACCUCUCUAUACCCCUUCAUACACACUCAUGCCUUCUCAACACACGUACCAGCCCACUUGCACGCACUUGCAAGCGCUUGCACCCUCCACACGCACCGCUCGGAGCUUUUCCCCCUCUCUCCUCCCAAUGGCUGGCUUCUGGAGCCGACCCUUCCACGCGCCCCCAGCUUCGCGGCAGCUAGGUCCCUCCCCAGCGCGCUGAGCUCACAGCGCAGGAGCCGGUCGCAGCCACACAGGCCGGUCCGACGGGACCACUGCUUCCCUCCUCACAUCCCAGGAGACACCAGGUGGGGCGUGGCACCUCCCACACACGGCUGGAGGGACUCCCAGGAUUUCCCGUCCUUCCGAAUUCGUGGGGGGUCAGAGGACUGCGGGGAGGCGUUUCUCAUCCUCGCUGGGGAAAGGACUCACCUGGUUCCCAAAGCCAGUUUGCUCUUCCUCUACUUCCUGCCAGAGGGAGCCUGGCCUUAAAGAACAAUGGAAAGAAGCAGUCAUAGGAAUCCUGGACCAGGAAUAUGUGCCUGAGAGGGAUUAUACACCUGGUGCUGAGCAGUGCCGUCCAGCUCUUUAAAAGGAUUGAGAAGAGCCAGAAGGAAAUCAACCUGCCCAUGGAGCUUCUGGGAUGGAUUAAGCCAUUGUAUCACAGCAGUUCUGGAAAGAAGAAAAAGGUGGCACACAAAAUAUACAGGAAAGUGUUUUAAUUUACUCAGUGCCCUAAAAGCUAAGAACAAGACUAAAUAAGUAAAAUUGAAAGGGCUAUACUACAUUCAUUUGUAUUUUCUGCACUGCAUGCUGCUCUAUAAAUACUCUUUCUCACUAUAUACUGUUUUCCCUAACUAGACUGAAAGUUCCUGGAGGUCAUCAACCACAUAUAUUUCUUUUGUAGCCCCCAAAUCGCCCACCACAGAGUACACAGCGUAUGCUCAAUAAAUGCUGUUGACCAACUGAUUACUAAGUAUUUAACUAUAUUUGCCCCUCGCUAUGUUUUAGAAUGCCUAUUAUUCACAGAACCAUGGAGUAUUGGAAGCGAAGAGGAAGUAUUCAUCUGUUGGUAUACAUUUUCCCUUGGCUAUGCAUUAUACAGAGGUUUCCUUUGGAAAUGUAAACAAAGGAUGCCUGAUGAGCCAGGACAAAGAACUAUAUAUAGAGAUCAAGUGGUUAUCAUAGCAAGGUCAAAGCAUGCCCUUCCUUAAUUAGAUUAAAGGGAGUCUUGGAGCUGCCUCUACCUCCUUCCCAUGCUCUCCAGCCGCAGCAGAAAACAUUUUCCAACCACCCAUCUACUGAAUUCUGAAACCUUCAGCAGCAAUUAUAACAAGCUACAUUACCAUAGAAGUCAGCUAACAAAUCUGUAGUGAUCUUAAUCUCUGUUUCUGUUAUAAUAGGAAGACUGCAGCUUUGUUUACUUUCUGAGGAGAAUAGAGAACAGGGAGAAAGAACCAUGAUAGGGAGGCAGUAUUUAUGGCCCUUUUAUGAAAAGGCAAUUUGUGACAAAAACAUUUACAGACAAUAAAGAAGGGGAACAGGUUUGACAGGAAAAUACCCUAUUCCAGUUUUCUCAGAAGCGCCUUAGCUGGUAUCCUCCGCCCCCGCCGAAUGUGAAAUGCCUGGUAUACACUGUGAAUAUAGUCAUUCCCUAUAGAUGAAUCUGGAUUACAUAUAAUGAAAAAAUUCCAAAUCACCCAUCAGUGUCUUACUUUCAUGACUGACAGUAUUCUACUAUACAUUUCAUUUUCUACUGUAUUUUUAAGCAUUUAUGAAGUCUCAAGUCCCUCCAUUAACUAGAUUUCUAAUCCUGAGGUUUGUCCUGAAGGCUUUUGGAGAGACAGGCUCUGUGUUGAAUGAGGAUAAUAAGUAACCUGGAUUCACCGUUGUUAUUAUUAAGAGGAAGUUGGCCGGGCCCGGUGGCUCACGCCUGUAAUCCUAGCACUUUGGGAGGCCAAGGCGGGUGGAUUGCCUGAGCUCAGGAGUUCAAGACCAGCCUGGGCAACACGGUGAAACCGCGUCUCUACUAAAAUACAAGAAAUUAGGCGGGCAUGGUGGCGUGUGCCUGUAAUCCCAGCUAGUCGGGAGGCUGAGACGGGAGAAUCACUUGAACCUAGGAGGCAGA